rnacentral:misc_RNA from 1 species
CUCUUCUUAAUUCUAUUUUUGGAAUGAGCUUGUGGAAAUAUGGACCUGAUGUGAUGGAUGCUUUGCUUGAGCUGAUUAUUGCCUUGGCUGCUUCAAAUGGAAAGUAUGUUGAUUCAUGCUUGGAUAUGCUCGUAAGCAAUUUCAUGCCACCAAUGUAUUUAGUAAAUACGCUAAAGCAGCCACGUGGUCUGGCAAAAAAGGAACAAGUUCUUUCCCGGGUGCAUACAGCUCUGGAAGGUAUUGUUGACUUGAUACCUAUGGCAGCCUCUAGAUUAUCAUCAGUAGUUGUACACAGGAUGCCAACAACCUUUAAGAAGGAUCUUCAGAAGGAUCAUCUAAUGUAUCGAACUGAGGUCUAUGUGGAGAACAUUUUAAGAUUAGAGAGUGGUGCAAUCAGAGAAUUUGUUGGAAGCAGGAUGCUUAUGGCAGUGGUUGAUAUGCUGAUAGAGUUGGAUGUGUCUAUUGGUUGGGAUGACAUUUUUCGAGAUGACUCUUGUAAAGGCAUCUUUGCCAUUGAGCUAGAAGAUGUGGAUGAUAUUGCUGCUGCUGAUGAUGAUGGCGAUGAAGAGAUUGAUAAUGGCGAGCUUCCUGCAACUUUAAGUCAGAGGAGCUUGGGUAAAAACAUCGUUGCUGAUUUAUUGGAUAGCAUGAUGGUGCAAGUAUUUGAGCAUCUUGAAUCUUGUGCAAACAACAAGCGUUUGAGUGAGGUAUUUGAAACUCUCCUGGACUCAUUUAUGCUAACUAUCCUGAACACUUACAAGUCAAAGUUUGCUCAGUUUGUCAUGUUCUAUGCUUGUGCACUGGAUCCUGAGAACUGUGGUGUGAAAUUUGCCAUAAUGCUUGUGGAUAGGUUUGUUUUCGGUGACAACCCACUUACCAGGAUGAGUGCUGUGGCUUAUCUUGCUAGUUA